rfam:Amborella trichopoda AMTR_V1.0_contig_27557, whole genome shotgun sequence.
AUACUUACCUGGGCGGGGUCAAUCGGUGUUCAAGAAGGCUGAUGGCUUAGGAUGGCUGCCCCCAUUGCACAUGCGGGGGUGGGUCACUCUACCAUCUCUCUUAAUGAGGGAAUGGACGUCAUAAUUUGUGGUAGGGGGGUACGCGUUCGCGCGGCCCCCAC